rnacentral:misc_RNA from 1 species
GAUGAAGAACGUAGCGAAAUGCGAUACUUGGUGUGAAUUGCAGAAUCCCGUGAACCAUCGAGUCUUUGAACGCAAGUUGCGCCCGAAGCCAUUAGGCCGAGGGCACGCCUGCCUGGGCGUCACACGUCGUUGCCCCCCCAUCUACUCCUUCGGGAUUGCGGGGGGCGGAUGAUGGCCUCCCGUGCGCCUCGCCGCGCGGUUGGCAUAAAUGCCAAGUCCUCGGCGACGCACGCCACGACAAUCGGUGGUUGCGAAACCUCGGUUGCCCGUCGUGUGCGGUCGUCGCGCAUCGAGGGCUCGAAAAAAUUGCCGGGUUCCGGCUCGGCUUUCAACGCGACCCCAGGUCAGGCGGGGUUACCCGCUGAAUUUAAGCAUAACAAUAAGCGGAGGA